rnacentral:snRNA from 1 species
AUCUUUAUGCAGGGGCAUUACGUGUUUCAGUGAGGAUUCAGUCCGAGAUCAUGUUUUUGCUGGUUGAAAACUUAUAAACCUGACAACUUCUCAUUUGAUUGAUGGUUUAUUGCAUCGAACAUUUGAGAGAAUUUUUGGAAACCUUCUUG